rnacentral:rRNA from 1 species
UACAUGGGGUGCAAACGUUGCUCGGAAUUAUUGGGCGUAAAGCGCACGUAGGCGGUUCGUUAAGUCGGAUGUGAAAGCCCUCGGCUCAACUGAGGAAGUGCACCCGAAACUGGCGAGCUUGAGUACGAAAGAGGAUCGCGGAAUUCCCGGUGUAGAGGUGAAAUUCGUAGAUAUCGGGAGGAACACCGGUGGCGAAGGCGGUUCUCUGGGCAUUACCUGACGCUGAGGAGCGAAAGUGUGGGGAGCGAACAGG